AAAGAAGCCGACUAAAACCUACCAAAACCAAGAUGGCCAUGAAGAGUGACCUUUGGUCAUUCUCACUGCUACACUCUCACCAGUGCCAAGACAGUUUACAAAUGCCAUGGCAAUGACAGGAAGUUCCCCUAUAUGGUCUAAAAAGGGGAGGCAUGAAUAAUCCACUCCUUGUUUAGCAUAUCAUCAAGAAAUAACCAUAAAAAUGGGUAACCAGCAGCCCUUGUGGCUGCUCUGUCUAUGGAGUAGCCAUUCUUUUAUUCCUCUACUUUCUUAACAAACUUGCUUUUGCUUUGCACUGUGGACUCUCCCUGAAUUUUUUCUUGCCCAAGAUCCAAGAACCUUCUCUUGGGGUCUGGAUCAGGACCGCUUUCCUGUAACAUCUUUCUGGCAACCACAAAGGGAUGAUACUGAAGAGACCCCCUAAUCUCAACUGAAAAUCAUCUGCUUGCACCAAUUUUGGCUGACUUUGGAGCCCUGAGUCACCAUUUAAGAAGUCCGACUACCCUGCUGAAGAGAUCACAUGGAGGGGCUCUGAGACUACAGCCUGAGAGCUGUUCCCACCAAGGUGUCAGGCUUGUGACUGAAGCCAUCUUGGAUGUUCCAGACUGGCCCAGGUCAGCUGGGGCUCUGCUCUGCAUCUUCCUCCCUCUGGAACCCUAGCUGAGUGAGUGGUCACUAUCUGGAACAUUGCUGGCCAUUGUGACAGAGGGGGCACUGAGCUCUGGAGGGUUUCACACAGGUAAUUAAAUGGCUUUGGUUGGGAAGUGACACCCUUCUACUCAUAACUUAUUGGCCACCUAAUCCCAUGGUACCACCCAAACACAGAAGAGCCCUGAUAUGGUUUGGCUGUGUCCCCACCCAAAUCUCAUCUUGAGUUGUAGCCCCCAUAAUCCCCACGUGUGGUGGGAGGGACCCAGUAGGAGAUGACUGAAUCAUGGGGGCAGUUUCCCCCACAAUGUUCUGCGGUAGUGAAUAAGUCUCAUGAGAUCUGAUGGUUUUAUAAGGGGUUUCCCCUUUCACUUGGCUCUCAUUCUGUCUUACCUGCUGCCAUCUAAGACAAGCCUUUUGCCUUCCACCAUGAUUGUGAGGUCUCCCAAGCCAUGCGGAACUGUGAGUCCAUUAAACCCCUUUUUCCUUAUAAACUACUCAGUCUUGGGUAUGUCUUUAUCAGCUGUGUAAAAACGGACUAAUACAGGCUCAGAAAUGCAAUCCUACUAUAUUCCUGGAAGAGGGAGAGCAAGAUAUAUUGAGAACCUAAUGAAAACCUCAGACCUGAUUUCAUAUAAUGCACUUAUACACCAUCACCCCAAAUCACCCAU
rnacentral:lncRNA from 1 species